rnacentral:rRNA from 1 species
GACAAACGCUGGCGGCGCGCUUAACACAUGCAAGUCGAGCGAGAACCAGGGCUUCGGCCCUGGGGACAGCGGCGAACGGGUGAGUAACACGUGGAUAACCUGCCCUCGGCACCGGGAUAGCCCGGGGAAACCCGGAUUAAUACCGGAUGGCCCUUCCGGCUCACGAGCCGGUCGGGAAAGGUAGCUUCGGCCUCCGGCCGAGGAUGGGUCCGCGGCGGAUUAGCUUGUUGGUGGGGUAACGGCCUACCAAGGCUCCGAUCCGUCGGUGGUCUGAGAGGACGAUGAGCCACACUGGGACUGAGACACGGCCCAGACUCCUACGGGAGGCAGCAGUGGGGAAUCUUGCGCAAUGGGCGAAAGCCUGACGCAGCGACGCCGCGUGAGGGAGGAAGGCCUUCGGGUUGUAAACCUCUUUCAGGAGGGACGAAGCUACUCGGGUGAAUAGCCCAGAGGGUGACGGUACCUCCAGAAGAAGCCCCGGCUAACUACGUGCCAGCAGCCGCCGUAAGAC